UGGGGAAUAUUGCACAAUGGGGGAAACCCGUGAUGCAGCAACGCCGCGUGAGUGAAGAAGUAUUUCGGUAUGUAAAGCUCUAUCAGCAGGGAAGAAAAUGACGGUACCUGACUAAGAAGCCCCGGCUAACUACGUGCCAGCAGCCGCGGUAAUACGUAGGGGGCAAGCGUUAUCCGGAUUUACUGGGUGUAAAGGGAGCGUAGACGGCAGCGCAAGUCUGAAGUGAAAGCCCGGGGCUCAACCCCGGAAUGGCUUUGGAAACUGCGCGGCUAGAGUACCGGAGGGGUAAGCGGAAUUCCUAGUGUAGCGGUGAAAUGCGUAGAUAUUAGGAGGAACACCAGUGGCGAAGGCGGCUUACUGGACGGUAACUGACGUUGAGGCUCGAAAGCGUGGGGAGCAAACAGGAUUAGAUACCCUGGUAGU
rnacentral:rRNA from 1 species